UGGAGCCCCACAGAGGGUACAUGAGGAGCUCAGACCCAGAGACCUUCCAACAGACAGUUUCCUUAGUCCUGAACACACAUGGCCAUCUCCUUGGUCCUUUUCAUUCAGCCAGUCAACAGACAGAUGACCUCUCCCAGGUACAGGGCACUCUGCUAGGGGCUAGGCCUGUCACAGAAGCAGGAUAAAGCCACUCACAGGGCUUCACAGGGAAGACAGCUUUGUUACCAGACUCUUCACACAGAGAAGAUGCCCAGCUGGCAUUUGCUACAGCAUCAACACACAUGGAGAUUUACUGCAGGACAAUCCAUGAGCGCUGGCUCACAGGAGUUUGCAAACAAGCUGCUCUAAACUGGAACCACUGCACCAGCCGCCAAGGGUGACUGAGGACAGAGACACCAGUGUCUGUGGCAGCCUGGGGCCAAGAGCAGUGAUGUGCUGACAUGUGUCAAGCAGCGUGCUUCUGUGGGAUGGCAUUUGGUCAAAAAUAGAUUAUCACACUCAGUAGUUAAGCGUGACACACCUGUAAUGUCUUCUCCGGCACUGUGAGUCUCAUUUUCACUUUUCUUAUCAGAAUCAAUCACUAAGGUGGUUUUUUGUCUUUUUGUUGUUCACACUGUCUUAAUAUUCACACUAUCUGAGUCAGAAUUACGUUCUGAAGAACUAUCAUCUUCUGAGACAUUAGUAUAUAUGUUGCUCAAAGCAAAAAUUCUUCACUCAAAAUUUUGUGAUGCAUCAUUUUUGAAAAUUUUAUGGCCAUAACCUUGCAUUUAUAACAUACACAAGGUUGGAGCAAAAACCUAAUGGAGCAAAAUGUGAAUGAUAACAACAAUCCUAAAUUGUGUAAGGGACCCAUGAUGAAUUUUAAGCUCUAAUGACUUUGCACAGUGAUGUCAAUUGCAUCACUCUCUAAAAAUGUAUUGAUACAUAUCUGGUCAAUAACACCGGGGUUAACAACUGAUGUGCUGAUUGAUAUGUCUCUGGUAAAUAAUCUGUUAAUUCUGUUGGUAAAUAAUAUGUUAAUUGUGCGGGUUGAAGAGUCCAGAGAGUGGAGGAACAGUAGGACAUGAGUUCACCUCUCCUCACAAAUGCAUGAAGAACACAUCUACACAAGGAUAAAUCUCACAGAGCACCAGCUGAACACCAGCAGAAGCUCUGAGACACCUAAAAGAACAAAACAGAUCUCUGUGUAACUGGGUAGGAUGAAAAAAAGAAAAAGUGAGGAAGAAAUGGGAUGGGACCUGUACCCAAGGGGAGAAGCUAAAGCAAAGGAGAGGUUCCUGCAUCCAGAGAAGCCCGCUCACUGCUCACCAGCAGGGAGAUCAGCUGUGACAGAAGAGGAACUUCGCGGCUAUGAGAGGAGAGCCCAGAAACCGGUCUGUGCCACAGCCCUGCACGCCCCAGCCUGGGAAGGGUGCCUGUUGGUGUGCAAAGGGACUGGAUGCUAGAGUGUGAAAUCUGGAGAACAGUCUCGGGGAGAGGACUGCUGUGGGCUGCAAAGAAACAGUCUUAGGGGAUGCCAGUGAAAAGUUCCACAACUGGGAAUGCUUGAGGAGGAAGCCUAGACCACUUCGGAAGUAAAGUGCCAUUGCUGAGUGACACGCAAGGGGUGUGGCCACCAUUGCCCCUGCACCCCACUCCAACCCAGCCAGGGCAGGCUCACAAACUCCAGAGCAGGUCAGGAACAGACGCCUAUGGGUGGCCCACACGCACAGAUGGGGCUGAAACGAUAGCUGAGACCCAGGGGCCACGCGACUAAGGAAGAGGAGCUGAAAUCUCUCCUCAGGGUUGCAUGAACUUUGGAUUUACACCCCAGUGACCGGCUUUGUAACUUCAGGGCCUUCAAGACACUGGAAGAGACAAGUGCCCCCACAACUGAGACAGGUCUAGCUUUAGCAGCCGCAGACUUCGUGGACAUGGACACGCAAGGGUUGGCCAGGCCAGAGUGAGCUACCUCCACAGCAGGUCCCGAUGCAUGAUCACUGCCAUGCUGGGACCAGACUUCAAUGAUCUCUACGGUGGUCUGCUGAAAACAACCUGAGAGGCAGCGGGACUGACUGUCCACACAUCCACAGCUAAGGUGGGGCCAAAGGCAGCACCAACAACCAUGUAGCCUGGAGCUCGCACAAGGGGCAAAAUGACACAACAGAGCACGCCCACCAGUGGGCAGUCCAGAGGAGGAAGACUCAGCGACCGACACCCCAGGGGAGUGAUCCAAGCCUGCCAACCUCGCCCCGACAGAAACACAGCUGAAGGGAACGGAGUCAAGACAGCAGGGCAGGAGGACUCGGAGCUCGAGUCUCCUCACAGUCAGGGCACCUACCAAGGCUAGUGAGGGUCCUGAGACACCUCAGGGGAUGGGGAGGAUCCCUGCGCAACCAAGUAGGAUGUGGGACGGAAGGAGGGAGGGAAGAAAACGGGAGCAGAACAGGACCAGCACCCUGAAGUGGGGCUGGGGAAGGGGAGAGAUUCCAAGCUUGGAGGGGCCCACUGAGGCGAGGGCAUCAGCGGGGACAGAGAGGGACCUCGGGGAGGCGCGGGGGUCAGAGGGGAAGGUGGUCAGUGUGUUCCCUGCCCACUCGGGCCCCAGCAAGCCUGCUGGGGUCUCCAGCCUGAGCCUCUCCCUGCCCCCAGGCCUCCUCUGGCCACACAGGUCAAGGUGGGCCAAGGGUUAACCCCCUGAGGCCGCCUCUGGCUGCACUGGCCCAUGCAGACACGCCCGUGGAGGCCUGGGUCCCUGGUGGCCUGCCUGGCACAUGUGCUCUGGGCCAGCUUCACAAAUAGACGCUGGUGGGAGGAACACACGCAGAGAUGGGGCUGACACAGCGGGUCCAGAGACCCGCCUAGAGGCCUUGGAGGCUUACUGAGGAGGCAGAAGUAGGUUUUAGCUCACUAUUGCUCUGGAACAUAAAAAUAUUCCAUCGUUUACAUGUACCACAUAAUUAAAACAAUUUUUUCU
ensembl:lncRNA